rnacentral:rRNA from 1 species
GAUGAACGCUAGCGGCAGGCCUAACACAUGCAAGUCGAGGGAGAAGCCCUUCGGGGCAGAAACCGGCGCACGGGUGCGUAACGCGUAUGCAACCUACCUUUCACAGGGGGAUAGCCCGGAGAAAUUUGGAUUAAUAUCCCAUAAUAUUGUUGGAUGGCAUCAUUUGGCAAUUAAAGUUACGAUGGUGGAAGAUGGGCAUGCGUCCUAUUAGCUAGUUGGCGAGGUAACGGCUCGCCAAGGCGACGAUAGGUAGGGGUCCUGAGAGGGAGAUCCCCCACACUGGUACUGAGACAGGGACCAGACUCCUACGGGAGGCAGCAGUGAGGAAUAUUGGUCAAUGGUCGGAAGACUGAACCAGCCAUGCCGCGUGCAGGAAGGCGGCCUUAUGGGUUGUAAACUGCUUUUAUAUGGGAAGAAUAAGGAGUACGUGUACUUUGAUGACGGUACCAUAUGAAUAAGCAUCGGCUAA